rnacentral:lncRNA from 1 species
GGGGAAUUAUAUUUAUUAUCUGAAGAUACGGUCCAAUUGGUAUAGCUUUUAAGUGAAAGGGAGGGGGAAGAGAGAUCAUUGGAUGAUGUUCCGAGCAAGUGAGGAGUGUCAUUUUUUUUUUCCCCACACGUCUUCUCCAGCACCAGGUACAUGGAAACGUGAGGGCGGGGGAUCGGCGGACAGGUCCCAGCAAGGCGGUUCGCGACCGGGAGCGGAAGGGCGGCCGCA